UACAGAGGGUGCGAGCGUUGUCCGGAAUCACUGGGCGUAAAGGGCGCGUAGGCGGCGCGGUAAGUCGGGUGUGAAAUCUCGGGGCUUAACUCCGAAACUGCAUUCGAUACUGCCGUGCUUGAGGACUGGAGAGGAGACUGGAAUUUACGGUGUAGCGGUGAAAUGCGUAGAUAUCGUAAGGAAGACCAGUGGCGAAGGCGGGUCUCUGGACAGUUCCUGACGCUGAGGCACGAAGGCCAGGGGAGCAAACGGG
rnacentral:rRNA from 1 species